GGUUAACAACGAAUUGAGGAAGCUCAUCUCAUCCAUUGAAUCAAUUGAUGCUUCAACAUCAUUGUUAGAAUCAUCAUAUACCAGACAUUUUGGAUAGUUUUCUUUCAAUAUUUUGUCAACAUUUUUACCAAUGACAUGUAGUUGAAAUUCAUUAACAUCCAUAUACAGGAAAUGAACUUCCUCUACAUCAGUGUUGUCACACAAAAAAUCUACGAAUUCUUUCCAUCCUUCAUUAAAAUACUUUACUUCUCUUUCUUUCUCUUUAACUUUCACUUUCCAAACAACGUUAGCACUUAAGUACAAUGUAA
rnacentral:misc_RNA from 1 species